ACAACAUCAAUGACUGCGUGCAAGGGCAGCACUGGGUGGCGAUUCACUGCGCUGUUCCAACAUUAGAAGCCGACCCAACAUUGCUUCGAUCGUCAGUCUGACAUGUUAAGUCCUCUCUCCCUAAUUUCCCCUUUGAAGGUUAUGUAGCAGCUUCUUUCAUGGCUUCAUCAUCAUGCGAGGAUUUUUUAGGGAUUCUUUGAGCUAUAAUUAAAUAAACAAAUGGUACCCCCUUUGUCCAUAACAUGAAUUGACCCUUCAGGUCUUGAGUGAAGCCAAGUUAGGUGUAUUUAUACAAGAUGUUGCUUUGAUGUCUUCUACUUUGUUCAAGAUUCACUAUCCCUCUUGGUAUGGCACUUGUUGUUGGAUUGGUUGGUUAGGGCCUAUUUCAACGCAAAUUUCCUAUGAUUCUAGACUCGGAUGCCCACCACUGAGUGCUCUCGACUUGGAUUGUUGAGCUAUCAAGGGCCUUAGAUCCAGGUUUAACCCGACCAAAUGUGAGUUGCUAUCUCCCUAUCACCCUCGCGAGGAAGUGACGGUUUCAUAUGGUAAUUAAACAUAUGAAAGAGUUUAUCGACUCUAUACAACAUGAUUUGGUUAACCGACUUUGAAAUGAAGAAGGGUAUUUUGAAGAAUCUCAAAUUAAGAAUUUAGUCGUAGAUUUAAUGUCGGGAUUUAUUAGAAAAAUGUUUUGAUCUUGUAAUUCCAUAUACUUGAACGGGUUGUUGGGUUGUUUAAUACUAGUUAACUUUUGUCGUGAGCAUGUGCAUUUGUGUGUAAUUGGAAUUAUAUUAGGAAAUAUUACUAAAACUUCUUGAAUUUUGUAAAAAUAUUAAAAAAAAUAUAUUUUUUCUUGUGU
rnacentral:lncRNA from 1 species